GACGAACUGUCCUAACGUUGUUCGGAAUCACUGGGCUUAAAGGGCGCGUAGGCGGUCGACCAAGUCAGGGGUGAAAUCCUGCAGCUUAACUGUAGAAGUGCCUUUGAUACUGGUCGUCUCGAGGGAGGUAGGGGUGUGCGGAACUUCCAGUGGAGCGGUGAAAUGCGUUGAUAUUGGAAGGAACGCCGGAGGCGAAAGCGGCGCACUGGACCUCUUCUGACGCUGAGGCGCGAAAGCUAGGGGAGCAAACAGGG
rnacentral:rRNA from 1 species